rnacentral:lncRNA from 1 species
CUCUAGAUUAAGUAGCCCAUGCUCCUCCUUGGCGUCCUUGCUUAGCCGCUACUCCUUGCAGGCUGCAGUGGCAGCAAUUUUUUUUGAAUUUGUUUUCCCUUAAAUGUACUCAUAGCCGUUCCUAUAUGAACGCUUUAUUUUGUGAAAUCGAAAGAGAUGUUUUAGUAAAGCUUCAAAAACUGAUUAUGUGAUGGACAGUGAAACCGUUCAAGAGAAUACUGGCCAUACCAGUUCAGUGAUACCUGAUGAUCAGAUGCCAUUCAUCCUGUGAGAGUUCUCUCAAACCAGGUUGAUAGCAAGGUUGAUAGUCAAAUAGUUGAAGAGAACGUGCCAGUUCAGUGAUCUCUUGCUGCAGAUGCCAUUAGUCAUGUGACAAUUCUUUCAAACGUACCAAGUUGAUAGUCAAAUAGAAGAAGAGAAUACUGGCCGUGCCAGUUCAGUGAUCUCUUGCUGCAGCCAUCCAUCCUGUGACAGUUCUCUUAUACCGGGUUGAUAUUCAAAUAGAUGAAGAUAAUACUGGCCAUACCAGUUUCAGUGAUAACUGAUGAUCAGAUAUGCCAUUCAUCCUGUGACAGUUCUCUCAGGCCACGUUGAUAGUCAAAUAGUUAAUAGUUAAAGGGAACACUGGCCGUGCCAGUUCAGUGAUCUCUGCUGCUGAUGCCAUCCUUUUUAUGACAGUUCUCUCAAACCAUGUUGAUAGUCAAAAUAAAUGAUGAUAAUCUGUCAGCGGACACUUGGUUGUGUGGUUAGAGUACCCGCGCCGUGAUUCGUUGAGUCGCACGUUCAAGUCUCUUGCUGGAAGUUCAUUUUGAAUUUUCGCCUUUUGCGCGGAAAACUGUUUCUGUUGGUUAUUUAAAUUCGUAUUUUGUAACCGGAAUUAUAUAUGUAUUGGUGUCGUGGUUAGCACGCUCGCCGUGUAAUCAUGAAGUCGGUGGUUCGAUACUCGAUCUAGACAAAUGUUUUACUGAUUUUUUUUUUCGC